UCGAGGGGUAACGGAAGUAGCUUGCUACUAGACGACGACCGGCGCACGGGUGAGUAACGCGUAUGUAAUCUGCCUUGUACAGAGGGAUAGCCCAGAGAAAUUUGGAUUAAUACCUCAUAGUAUUACUGGAUCGCAUGAUUUGGUAAUUAAAGCUCCGGCGGUACAAGAUGAACAUGCGUGACAUUAGCUAGUUGGUAAGGUAACGGCUUACCAAGGCUACGAUGUCUAGGGGUUCUGAGAGGAUGAUCCCCCACACUGGUACUGAGACACGGACCAGACUCCUACGGGAGGCAGCAGUGAGGAAUAUUGGUCAAUGGACGCAAGUCUGAACCAGCCAUCCCGCGUGAAGGAUGACUGCCCUAUGGGUUGUAAACUU
rnacentral:rRNA from 1 species